AUAGGAAUUGUGCCCGAAAUUAAGGACUACUUUGAUAGAGUAUGCUACAGGAGUUAAAAUCUCCUCAUUUCCU
rnacentral:tRNA from 1 species